CAGCAGCCGCGGUAAUACGAAGGGUGCAAGCGUUAAUCGGAAUUACUGGGCGUAAAGCGUGCGUAGGCGGUGAGUUAAGUCUGCUGUGAAAUCCCCGGGCUCAACCUGGGAAUGGCAGUGGAUACUGGCUCGCUAGAGUGUGUCAGAGGAUGGUGGAAUUCCCGGUGUAGCGGUGAAAUGCGUAGAGAUCGGGAGGAACAUCAGUGGCGAAGGCGGCCAUCUGGGACAACACUGACGCUGAGGCACGAAAGCGUGGGGAGCAAACAGGAUUAGAUACCCCCGUAGUCCCUGUCUCUUAUAU
rnacentral:rRNA from 1 species